rnacentral:lncRNA from 1 species
AAAAUCCUCUUUGCUUCUCCAGGUGCACACAGUGAAAUGUAGCUUUAUUUAAUCACUACCCAGGGCUGAGCGAAGGUCAUGUGAAAUCUGCAACUCACAGCAGCCUUCUGGAAAUAAAGACAAGCAAGAGCACAUCUCAACACCCCAUUGGCUGCCUGAGAGUCUCCAGGCCCACAUCAAGGUCCUUCUCUUAAUCUUUAAAGCCCUCAAAGGUGCUGGAGUCUGGCUGUCUGAUCCUCCGUCUGCUAUAACUGUGACCAGCAAGGACACUGCCAUUAGUGGAGCCCAGCAUGAAAUUUGCUGGCUGUCAGGGACAUUGCUCAGGCUUCUGCUUCAGCCCUGGCUGGUCGAGCUUUUGGCCCUGGGCUUCACACCCAUGUGUUCUGCUUUCUGCUCUGAGCCCCAGAGAGUCUAACGCCAGCCCUGCUUGGUGGCCCCCUUGAAACCUGCCCCCCCCAAAGGGCCCCGGACCCCUGGCUGAGAAUCACUGCUCUAGAGCUCCUUAUUAAGGAUCAAAAUAAACCAGAACAUGACCCUUCUCAGAAAAGAAUACAGGCCCACCUUUGUGUCCAAUGAGGAGACCUGCCAAACUUCAGCAUUUCCCUAAGCACUCAUCACAGCAGUAUCCAAGUGUUGGCACCUUUACCUGCGGUUAUUUUACAAAAGUCUCCGAGGAACAGCAGCCAAACUCAGGAGGUGGACAGCAGGCUCCUUUGUGGAUAAAGGCAGGUCUCCCCUGGGUGGAAUUCCCGCCAUGGAGAGGACCAGCACAAAGGCCUAUGCACCAGGGCCUCUGCCUGGUUCAUUAGUUUCUGCCUGACAUCUGUUGGCUCAAGUUUUAUUGUGGAAUUUGAAUUUAAGAAGCUUCCAAACCGUACAAUGCGAGUCACUGUCCAAAAAAGUGCAGCUGCAACUAUGGACACGAAUCCAGUAAAUAAUAUCAAGGAGACAGCAAGUUGCAUUGUCGUGGCCAAAUUCAACUCCAGUGUAAACAAGGACGUUUGUAUCCACUUAUACGGAGGAUGACUUUGCAGGUUAUUCUGAACUGUGGUGUUACAUGGACGCAGCAGAUGCACAUCAAAGAGGGU